rnacentral:rRNA from 1 species
GAUGAACGCUGGCGGCGUGCUUAACACAUGCAAGUCGAACGAGAAGUGGAGACGGAAACCUUCGGGCGGAAGACUGUAUUUCGAGUGGCGGACUGGUGAGUCACGCGUGGGUAACCUGCCUCCUACAGGGGGAUAACAGUUGGAAACGACUGUUAAUACCGCAUAAGACCACAGCACCGCAUGGUGCGGGGGUAAAAACUCCGUUGGUAUGAGAUGGACCCGCGUUCGAUUAGCCAGUUGGCGGGGUAACGGCCCACCAACGCGACGAUCGAUAGCAGAUCGGGGGGGAUGACCGGCCACAUUGGGACUGAGACACGGCCCAAACUGCGACGGGAGGCUGCAGUAGGGAAUAUUGCACAAUGGAGCAAACCCUGAUGCAGCGGCGCCGCGUGAGUGAAGAAGUAUUUCGGUAUGUAAAGCUCUAUCAGCAGGGAAGAAAAUGACGGUACCUGAGUAAGAAGCCCCGGCUAACUACGUG